GGGCUCUUAGCUCAGUUGGUUAGAGCAUCCGGCUCAUAACCGGACGGUCCCGGGUUCGAGUCCCUGAGAGCCCA
rnacentral:tRNA from 1 species